rnacentral:rRNA from 1 species
AGGGAGCCCGGAGAUGGGGACUGAGACACGGCCCCAGGCCCUACGGGGCGCAGCAGGCGCGAAACCUCCACAAUGCACGAAAGUGCGAUGGGGGGAUCCCAAGUGCUUAUGCAAAGCAUAAGCUUUUCCCAAGUCUAAACAACUUGGGGAAUAAGGGCUGGGCAAGUCCGGUGCCAGCAGCCGCGGUAACACCGGCGGCCCAAGUGGUAGCCACUCUUAUUGGGCCUAAAGCGUCCGUAGCCGGUUUAGUAAGUCUCUGUUUAAAUCCUACGGCUUAACCGUAGGGCUGGCAGAGAUACUGCUAGACUUGGGACCGGGAGAGGAAGAGGGUACUUCAGGGGUAGCGGUGAAAUGCGUUGAUCCCUGAGGGACCACCUAUGGCGAAGGCACUCUUCUGGAACGGGUCCGACGGUGAGGGACGAAAGCUAGGGGAGCGAACCGGAUUAGAUACCCGGGUGGUCCUGGCCGUAAACUCUGCGGACUAGGUGUUGCCUGGGCCUAGGGCCCAGGCAGUGCCGAAGGGAAGCCGUUAAGUCCGCCGCCUGGGGAGUACGGUCGCAAGACUGAAACUUAAAGGAAUUGACGG